GUUUCUCAGGGCUUAGUGGUAGAGCACCUGCCUGGAAUGUGGGAGGCCCUGGGUACAAUCCCCACAGGGGUG
rnacentral:tRNA from 1 species